UGAAACACAGACUAGGUGAUGUCAUGCAGCUGAUUGCAAAGAGAUAUCUAACUCUUGUCUUUUUCAGGAAGAUGCUGUUUCUUUUGCCAGUAAUGUGGGCUACCCUUGCUUCCCGAGGCCAUCCUAUGUUCUGAGUGGUUCAGCCAUGAAUGUUGUGUAUGGAGAAGAUAAGAUGAAACAUUUCCUGGAGGAAGCCACACAGGUGUCACAGCAAUAGUGCUAUUUACAGCAUUUUUAUGGGGAACAGGAUCAUCCUGUGGUUAUCACCAAAUUCGUACAAGGUGCCAGAGAAGUGGAGGUGGAUGCAGUGGCCAGGAUGGGUAAGGUGCUGGCUCAUGCUAUCACAGAGCAUGUGGAGGAUGCAGGAGUGCACUCAGGAGACGCCACACUCAUUCUACCCACCCAGACCAUCAGCCAGGGAGCUCUGGAGAAGGUGAAGACCUAAAAGAAAAUUGCAAAGGCGUUUGAGAGUUCAGGGCCAUUUUACACUCAAUUUUUAGUGAAAGGCAAUGAUGUAAUGGUGAUUGAGUGUAACCUGCGUGCCUCUCGAUCUUUCCCUUUCGUCUCUAAAUCUUUUGGGGUGGACUUCAUUGAUGUGGCCACCAGGGUCAUGGGUGAGCCACUGGACGAGUCUCGUCUGCCCUCCCUAGAAAACCCAAUCAUUCCAGUCGACUAUGUUUGCAUUAAGUGAUCUGUUUUGAUCACUGCAGGUGGCUUGCUUUGGACCAAACAUCUAUUCAGCCUUCCUAAAGGCCAUGCUCUCUACAGGAUUCAAGCUUCCCCAGAAGUGGAUUCUCAUUGGGAUAAAAGUGAAGAAGAACUUUUUUAUCCCUUCCUUAAUGGUUGAAUCUCAAAGGACUCAGAUUUACUCAGUGGAACAUAAGUGGCUUGUUUUGAUCAGAACAGGUUGCUAUAUCUACUUGCAGGUUAUUUUCCACAUAAAUUACAAAAUCCAUAGGAGGUUUUCAAGUAGGAAAACAAUUCCUGAAUAUACAGGUGCAUCUCAAUUAAUUAGAA